rnacentral:tRNA from 1 species
AUAUAAAUAAGCUAAUAAAGCUUUCAGGCUCAUACCCUGACUAUAUAAAUUCCAACUUUUUUUUAUAUA